AUUGAACGCUGGCGGCAGGCCUAACACAUGCAAGUCGAACGAGUGGCGGACGGGUGAGUAAUGUCUGGGAAACUGCCUGAUGGAGGGGGAUAACUACUGGAAACGGUAGCUAAUACCGCAUACCAUCGGAUGUGCCCAGAUGGGAUUAGCUAGUAGGUGGGGUAAAGGCUCACCUAGGCGACGAUCCCUAGCUGGUCUGAGAGGAUGACCGGCCACACUGGGACGGAGACACGGCCCAGACUCCUACGGGAGACAGCAGUGGGGAAUAUUGCACAAUGGGGGCAAGCCUGAUGCAGCCAUGCCGCUGGUAUGAAGAAGGCCUUCGGGUUGUAAAGUACUUUAAGCGGGGAGGCGUUACCCGAAGAAGAAGCACCGGCUAACUCCGUGCCAGCAGCCGCGGUAAUUC
rnacentral:rRNA from 1 species